rnacentral:rRNA from 1 species
CAUGCAAGUCGAGGGGAAACGACAUCGAAAGCUUGCUUUUGAUGGGCGUCGACCGGCGCACGGGUGAGUAACGCGUAUCCAACCUGCCCACCACUUGGGGAUAACCUUGCGAAAGUAAGACUAAUACCCAAUGACGUCUCUAGAAGACAUCUGAAGGAGAUUAAAGAUUUAUCGGUGAUGGAUGGGGAUGCGUCUGAUUAGCUUGUUGGCGGGGUAACGGCCCACCAAGGCGACGAUCAGUAGGGGUUCUGAGAGGAAGGUCCCCCACAUUGGAACUGAGACACGGUCCAAACUCCUACGGGAGGCAGCAGUGAGGAAUAUUGGUCAAUGGACGAGAGUCUGAACCAGCCAAGUAGCGUGCAGGAUGACGGCCCUAUGGGUUGUAAACUGCUUUUAUAAGGGAAUAAAGUGAGUCUCGUGAGACUUUUUGCAUGUACCUUAUGAAUAAGGACCGGCUAAUUCCGUGCCAGCAGCCGCGGUAAUACGGAAGGUCCGGGCGUUAUCCGGAUUUAUUGGGUUUAAAGGGAGCGUAGGCCGGAGAUUAAGCGUGUUGUGAAAUGUAGAUGCUCAACAUCUGCACUGCAGCGCGAACUGGUUUCCUUGAGUACGCACAAAGUGGGCGGAAUUCGUGGUGUAGCGGUGAAAUGCUUAGAUAUCACGAAGAACUCCGAUUGCGAAGGCAGCUCACUGGAGCGCAACUGACGCUGAAGCUCGAAAGUGCGGGUAUCGAACAGGAUUAGAUACCCUGGUAGUCCGCACGGUAAACGAUGGAUGCCCGCUGUUGGUCUGAAUAGGUCAGCGGCCAAGCGAAAGCAUUAAGCAUCCCACCUGGGGAGUAUGCCGGCAACGGUGAAACUCAAAGGAAUUGACGG